UUUUGGCUUUUGCUUUUGCUUUCACUUUGACUUCGACUUCAGUAUUCGGCUUUGGCCCAAACAGCCAACCAACCCCCUCUUGCCACUUGCCACCCCCCUUCCGAAAAGGGCGUUCAUUUGUGAAAUUCUAGCCAUGCCCAAGGGCGGCACUUGCGGCAUUUAGUUAGUAAUUUAGCGCAUUUAGUACGCAAUUUCUGAGGGAGACGGAAGAAGGAGGGCCGAGGGGCAGCAACUGCCCUACUGGGGUCAUGGCCUUGGUCAUUAAGCCGGCUUUUUCUACGAUGUUUACAAUUACAGAAGUCCCACUGUACCUAGCAUAUGUACCUACUCCCAAAUUCCGUCUCAAUGGCCUUUUGAAGAUGCAGAGAUAUGAUCUUGACAGGACUUGCUACGGCAUUAACAUAAAUAAUAAAUGGUCCCUAAUGCAAUUCCGGUCGAAGCCAGGCCGGGCAGGGUUCAGACAAUAACAUAAACACUGCACUUCAAAGAAGAUUCAAAGUUAAUAGUUCGCUAAACAGAGUCCUGGCUGGAGGUCCUUCGACCACAUAAAUUUCGCAUCCAAAUCAAUAACUGGAAGCUGGGCGAGCUGGAAGCGAACAGGGGGGUGCCGUUGACAUCGGCUAGUGUUAAAGUUAAUAAAUUGUGGCCAAGGAGGAUUUAUGUGCCGGGCCGCUGCCCUCGACGGCAAUGACA